GUCAGUCCUUGGGUGAUGCACCCAGGAAUUGGGCUCUUUCCUCUCUGGUUCUGGGAUGCAUCAUCCAAGAAGAA
rfam:Myotis davidii contig27752, whole genome shotgun sequence.